GAACUGGAUUCUGUUUCCUGUUUUCACUGUGAAAGAGUACGAACCUCCGCAGUUGGUGUUCGUCAGGAUUCCUCCUCUCAGGUCGUCGUGGAACUCGUGAGCCAGGUAGAACAUGCUGGACAGAGCACCUGGACACACAGACUUCCUGCCGAGCUCUGACCUUUGGUGUAGCAUGCGAGGCCGAGGUAGUUGACGGCGCUCUGAUGCACCUUCAGUCGUUCCUCCUCCGGAAACCUGCGACACACAAACCGCCGUUAAGAGAAUUUAACACCUGAACUUUAUCUACGAACUUUAACCACAGACAUUAAAAAAUGUGGCUUUAUAUUGAACUUCAGAGUAAGACUUUCACAUUAAAAGCGCACAGUUUUGUUACCCCUU